rnacentral:rRNA from 1 species
AUUGAACGCUGGCGGCAUGCCUUACACAUGCAAGUCGAACGGCAGCACGGGAGCAAUCCUGGUGGCGAGUGGCGAACGGGUGAGUAAAGUAUCGGAACGUGCCCAGUCGUGGGGGAUAACGUAGCGAAAGUUACGCUAAUACCUCAUACGAUCUAUGGAUGAAAGCGGGGGAUCGUAAGACCUCGCGCGAUUGGAGCGGCCGAUAUCAGAUUAGGUAGUUGGUGGGGUAAAGGCUCACCAAGCCGACGAUCUGUAGCUGGUCUGAGAGGACGACCAGCCACACUGGGACUGAGACACGGCCCAGACUCCUACGGGAGGCAGCAGUGGGGAAUUUUGGACAAUGGGCGAAAGCCUGAUCCAGCCAUGCCGCGUGCAGGAUGAAGGCCUUCGGGUUGUAAACUGCUUUUGUACGGAACGAAAAGGUUUGGCCUAAUAAGCUGAGCUCAUGACGGUACCGUAAGAAUAAGCACCGGCUAACUACGUGCCAGCCGCCGCGGUAA